rnacentral:misc_RNA from 1 species
GGAGAUGCUACCUAGGCACAAAUCCAUCUGCCAUUGCUCUGAUAGACCUGUCUCUGGGUCCUGACAGUACCUUCACACUCAUCUCUGCCUUGAUAUCCAACAGGUUUUUAAAUUCUCAAAUUGGAUCAUGAUGAUGAUCAGUUGAGCUGAAGAUGGGAAGAAGUGGUCAAGUUCUGCUUGAUAUUGAUGAGUUAGCAAAUACCAUAAGAGAAAAGUUGGAAAUCUUGCAUCCUUUAUCUGAUGAGUGCUGUAUCUACAGAGUACCUGACCGACUACGCCAAUUAAAUCACAAGGCCUAUACGCCUCGAGUACUCUCUAUUGGCCCUCUCCACCAUGGCGGAAAAGAGCUACAAGCAAUGGAAGAGCAUAAGAACAGGUACCUGCAGGAUUUCCUUCGUUUGAGCGGGGUAAGCCUGGAGGAUUGCAUUCAAUUUUUUCAGCAAUGUGAGAUAAGAUUGCGAAAUUGUUAUGCAGAAUCCAUCCAACUAAGCAGUAAUGAUUUUGUGAAGAUGAUGUUGCUAGAUGCCAGCUUCAUCAUCAUGCUCUUUCUAAAGCAUUGUUUUGGAGACUUGAGGAAUAGGAUUAGGAAUGAUCGAAUAUACAACAAACCAUGGUUGAUUCUUGAUAUAAGAUUCGACUUAAUUUUGCUUGAAAAUCAGAUUCCUUUCUUCAUUCUUGAAGACCUGUUUAUGCUGUCCAAUAUACCUACGCGUCUGGAGGGAGUUUCUAUUGUAAAGCUUGUCUACGAAUUCUUCAGAAACGGAUGGGAUUCAUGGGUGAAGGAGGACGUUUUGGAGAGACACAGUUCUUUCAAAAUAGAGCAUAUUCUUGAUUUUCUGAGAAUCUGUCAGCAGCCAUCAGAGUUGCAGCCUCAAAAGGAGCUGAGGAUGCUAGUGGUGCCGAGCACAACAGAGCUCUACCAAGCUGGAGUCAAAUUUCAGUUGAGUUCAAGCAAGAACGUACUUGACAUAAAAUUCAAGAAUGGAAUUUUGGAAAUCCCACGAUUUCGAAUAGUGGAUCAAACAGAAAUUUUACUGCGAAAUCUCCAAGCUUUCGAGCAAUGCCAUUGCUUGGACAAUUAUGUAGGUGACUAUAUUGCCAUGAUGGCUAUGCUUGUGAAUUCUGCCAAUGAUGUGGAAUUACUAUCUCAAAAUGGGAUCAUAGAAAAUUGGCUACGGAGUAAUGAAGCCUUAGCAGCUCUUUUCCGGGAAGUUGAAAAAGAGAAUAUUGUCUUCCCUGAUAGAUACUACUUUUCUGCUGUGAUUGAAGAUCUUAAUGUGCACUGCAGAGCCCCUUGGCAUAAAUGGAAGGCAAACUUGAAACAAAAUUAUUUCAAUACUCCAUGGGUUGGCAUCUCUGUUGUUGCAGCUGCUAUUCUCCUCUUUCUUACUGUUAUACAAACUGUGUGUUCUCUACUGCAAGUUUAGGUUCUGCAUUUUGUUCUGUAAUUUUUUUAGGCAAAAUUUCCCCUUCUGUGCAACUUUUUCUUCUAUUGAUGAUUUGCAAACAUAUUUUCGUAAUUACAAGAUGAGUCCCUUAGAUUAGAGGCUAUUAAUGUAAUUCAAAUUGAG